AUUUCUCUUUUUCUCACUCUCUCGGCCAAACUCUCUCCUCCCUUCUCUCUUCGAUCUCAACACCUUAGACCGUGAUUCCGGACGAAGUUCAAGAAUUAAAAUUGCUAUACGGAGCACGGGCUUUCCGAAUAUCCAAGAAAAAUCUUGAUCGGACCGCGUGGGAGCUCGGUUGACUUGGUCAAAGGGUCGGGUUUUGCUCAAAACCCAUGAGGUACAACACAGGGGUAGUGAUAUGAAGUGCAUGGAGUGCAUCUUUGCAUAAAAAGGGGUUUUUCAGGAGCUACCUAUAUAUUUGUAAAUCAAAUUGUAUUGUAAUGUACUGGGAUGUCUUAAUUUGAAACAUUAUAUUUGUGGACAAAAUUGAGGAUUUGGGAGCAGUAUUGUAUUUUGGGGUAUUGGCUAUACUAUUGUGAGGUUUUAUACUUCAAAUGGUAUUGUUAUUUAUGUUUAAAAA